rnacentral:lncRNA from 1 species
GCUUUUUCAAAGAUUCUAUAUCAAUUUUUAUAUGAAACCGAGAUAGAUACCUUUCAGAAAAUUCUAACUAUAGUGGAAAUGCUUCUAUGUUAUUCUUCUGACGGUGGGAGAAAAGAUAAAAUGAAAGCAAAGCUGAUUAUUAAUUUAAUCAAAAGUCAAGUUUGAAACUCAUGCUCAUGGAAUUAACCUCUUUUGGUUAACCCCCCAAAAAAAAGAAUAAAGAUAAAGAUCGAUCUAUGAGAAAUCUCAUUCAAUUCGAUAUACUAGAUUCAAAAACCCGGA